AUGCAUAUGAAAAAAUCCACUUGUUACCUACUUUACUUGGAUGAAUUGCUAUCUGACGUUAACAGGAAAUGUAGGCAGAGUCCUGUAGGAUUCAUCUUUUGCAGGAAGUGCCUAGGAACGGGGAUCAGUUUAACCUCUACCACACAUAGGAAGGGAGUAAUCUGGUGGAUGUCCUAGAAAUGUCAUUGACAUGGUUAGUAAGAUCUUUCUCUUUGCAGUUUCCUGCUAUUUCUUGUGCUAAUGCUUGAGGUGCUUAAGAUUUCUAAAGUAGAGUAGCCCAUGGCAGCAACAUUUCUGACCACAGUGACUAACCAAAUAGUCUGCCUAAGCACAUCUAUAUUACAUGGAGCUUUAAAAUUCCUCAUAGCCUGCACCAAAGCAGUGCUCAAGUCACUUCAAGAAUCUCCUCUCCAUCUGCUUC
rnacentral:lncRNA from 1 species